UUAAAUUGAAGAGUUUGAUCAUGGCUCAGAUUGAACGCUGGCGGCAGGCCUAACACAUGCAAGUCGAACGGUAACAGGAAACAGCUUGCUGUUUCGCUGACGAGUGGCGGACGGGUGAGUAAUGUCUGGGAAACUGCCUGAUGGAGGGGGAUAACUACUGGAAACGGUAGCUAAUACCGCAUAACGUCGCAAGACCAAAGAGGGGGACCUUCGGGCCUCUUGCCAUCGGAUGUGCCCAGAUGGGAUUAGCUUGUUGGUGGGGUAACGGCUCACCAAGGCGACGAUCCCUAGCUGGUCUGAGAGGAUGACCAGCCACACUGGAACUGAGACACGGUCCAGACUCCUACGGGAGGCAGCAGUGGGGAAUAUUGCACAAUGGGCGCAAGCCUGAUGCAGCCAUGCCGCGUGUAUGAAGAAGGCCUUCGGGUUGUAAAGUACUUUCAGCGGGGAGGAAGGGAGUAAAGUUAAUACCUUUGCUCAUUGACGUUACCCGCAGAAGAAGCACCGGCUAACUCCGUGCCAGCAGCCGCGGUAAUACGGAGGGUGCAAGCGUUAAUCGGAAUUACUGGGCGUAAAGCGCACGCAGGCGGUUUGUUAAGUCAGAUGUGAAAUCCCCGGGCUCAACCUGGGAACUGCAUCUGAUACUGGCAAGCUUGAGUCUCGUAGAGGGGGGUAGAAUUCCAGGUGUAGCGGUGAAAUGCGUAGAGAUCUGGAGGAAUACCGGUGGCGAAGGCGGCCCCCUGGACGAAGACUGACGCUCAGGUGCGAAAGCGUGGGGAGCAAACAGGAUUAGAUACCCUGGUAGUCCACGCCGUAAACGAUGUCGACUUGGAGGUUGUGCCCUUGAGGCGUGGCUUCCGGAGCUAACGCGUUAAGUCGACCGCCUGGGGAGUACGGCCGCAAGGUUAAAACUCAAAUGAAUUGACGGGGGCCCGCACAAGCGGUGGAGCAUGUGGUUUAAUUCGAUGCAACGCGAAGAACCUUACCUGGUCUUGACAUCCACAGAACUUUCCAGAGAUGGAUUGGUGCCUUCGGGAACCGUGAGACAGGUGCUGCAUGGCUGUCGUCAGCUCGUGUUGUGAAAUGUUGGGUUAAGUCCCGCAACGAGCGCAACCCUUAUCCUUUGUUGCCAGCGGUCCGGCCGGGAACUCAAAGGAGACUGCCAGUGAUAAACUGGAGGAAGGUGGGGAUGACGUCAAGUCAUCAUGGCCCUUACGACCAGGGCUACACACGUGCUACAAUGGCGCAUACAAAGAGAAGCGACCUCGCGAGAGCAAGCGGACCUCAUAAAGUGCGUCGUAGUCCGGAUUGGAGUCUGCAACUCGACUCCAUGAAGUCGGAAUCGCUAGUAAUCGUGGAUCAGAAUGCCACGGUGAAUACGUUCCCGGGCCUUGUACACACCGCCCGUCACACCAUGGGAGUGGGUUGCAAAAGAAGUAGGUAGCUUAACCUUCGGGAGGGCGCUUACCACUUUGUGAUUCAUGACUGGGGUGAAGUCGUAACAAGGUAACCGUAGGGGAACCUGCGGUUGGAUCACCUCCUUACCUUAAAGAAGC
rnacentral:rRNA from 1 species